rnacentral:Y_RNA from 1 species
GGCUGGUCUGAGUGCAGUGGUGUUUAUAAUGAAUUGAUCACAAUCACUUACAGCUUUCUUUGUUUCUUCUAGGCUCUGACUGCUUUACUUGAUUAGACUUUU